GCCCUGUAGGGAAAAGCCACAUGGAAACGGCUGCUGUCCAGCUCAAGUUGGGAAUGUUUUCCUCUCUCUGGACUUCCAGUGCAAAAGCACUCUGAUUCUACAGCUUUCAGGGGAAUAAGUCAGUAUCCAAAAAUGCCAACCCAAGCUAUAUAUGACCAGAACUCAGAUCUACCAGGUUUUAACAAUCACAUCAUUCUUCUAAUGGGAAUAGGAAGUGCUUUCACCAGGAGACGAAUGUGUAACUGUUCAGACAGCCCAUGGAAACAGCUACUCUGAGAAUGUUGUUAUUCAUCACCCCUCAGAGGUCAUGACUACAGAAAGAUACCAGUUACCAAUUCAACA